rnacentral:SRP_RNA from 16 species
GCUGGUCUGCACGCGGCAUCUUUUGUGUCGGUAUUACGAGUGGCAGGCAUGCAGGAGGGGACAUGGAACUGGUAACAAUGACAGGCAGACUGUGCUAGGCUGAAGCAGGGCUGAAGGCUGGCCAG